rnacentral:rRNA from 1 species
GAUGAACGCUGGCGGCGUGCUUAACACAUGCAAGUCGAACGGAAAGGCUCCUGCUUGCCGGGGUACUCGAGUGGCGAACGGGUGAGUAACACGUGGGUGAUCUGCCCUGCACUUCGGGAUCAGCCUGGGAAACUGGGUCUAAUACCGGAUAGGACGAUGGUUUGGAUGCCAUUGUGGAAAGUUUUUCGGUGUGGGAUGAGCUCGCGGCCUAUCAGCUUGUUGGUGGGGUAAUGGCCUACCAAGGCGUCGACGGGUAGCCGGCCUGAGAGGGUGUACGGCCACAUUGGGACUGAGAUACGGCCCAGACUCCUACGGGAGGCAGCAGUGGGGAAUAUUGCACAAUGGGCGCAAGCCUGAUGCAGCGACGCCGCGUGGGGGAUGACGGCCUUCGGGUUGUAAACUCCUUUCGCUAGGGACGAAGCGCAAGUGACGGUACCUGGAGAAGAAGCACCGGCUAACUACGUG